rnacentral:rRNA from 1 species
UGGGGAAUAUUGGACAAUGGGCGCAAGCCUGAUCCAGCCAUGCCGCGUGAGUGAUGAAGGCCUUAGGGUUGUAAAGCUCUUUUGCCGGGGACGAUAAUGACGGUACCCGGAGAAUAAGUCCCGGCUAACUUCGUGCCAGCAGCCGCGGUAAUACGAAGGGGACUAGCGUUGUUCGGAAUCACUGGGCGUAAAGCGCACGUAGGCGGAUCAUUUAGUCAGGGGUGAAAUCCCGGGGCUCAACCUCGGAACU